UACGGAAGGCAGCAGUGGGGAAUAUUGCACAAUGGGCGAAAGCCUGAUGCAGCUAUGCCGCGUGUAUGAAGAAGGCCUUAGGGUUGUAAAGUACUUUCAUCGGGGAGGAAAAAACAAAACUAAUAAUUUUAUUUCUUGACGUUACCCGAAAAAGAAGCACCGGCUAACUCCGUGCCAGCAGCCGCGGUAAUACGGAGGGUGCUAGCGUUAAUCAAAUUACUGGGCGUAAAGAGCACGUAGGUGGUUUUUUUAAGUUCAGAUGUGAAAUCCCUGGGCUUAACCUAGGAACUGCAUUUUGAAACUGAAAUACUAGAGUAUCGUAGAGGGAGGUAGAAUUCUAGGUGUAGCGGUGAAAUGCGUAGAUAUCUGGAGGAAUACCUGUGGCGAAAGCGGCCUCCUAAACGAAUACUGACACUGAGGGUGCGAAAGCGUGGGGAGCAAACAGGGAUUAGAUACC
rnacentral:rRNA from 1 species